GCGCAGCAGUCGCGAAACCUCCGCAAUGCGCGAAAGCGCGACGGGGUUACCCCGAGUGCCGUCCGCUGAGGACGGCUUUUGCCCAGUGCAGCCAGCUGGGCGAAUAAGGAGAGGGCAAGUCUGGUGUCAGCCGCCGCGGUAAUACCAGCUCUCCGAGUGGUGGGGACGCUUAUUGGGCCUAAAGCAUCCGUAGCCGGUCUGGCAAGUCCCUUGUUAAAUCCAACGAUUCAAUCGUUGGACUGCAAGGGAUACUGCCAGACUAGGGGGCGGGAGAGGCCGACGGUAUUCCCCGGGGUAGGGGUGAAAUCCUAUAAUCCCGGGAGGACCACCAGUGGCGAGGGCUGUCGGCUAGAACGCGCCCGACGGUGAGGGAUGAAAGCU
rnacentral:rRNA from 1 species